rnacentral:rRNA from 1 species
UUGAAGGUCAGCGGCGGACGGGUGAGUAACACGUGGGCAACCUGCCUGUGAGACUGGGAUAACUUCGGGAAACCGGAGCUAAUACCGGAUAAUAUAAGGAACCUCCUGGUUCUUUAUUGAAAGAUGGUUUCGGCUAUCACUCACAGAUGGGCCCGCGGCGCAUUAGCUAGUUGGUGAGGUAACGGCUCACCAAGGCGACGAUGCGUAGCCGACCUGAGAGGGUGAUCGGCCACACUGGGACUGAGACACGGCCCAGACUCCUACGGGAGGCAGCAGUAGGGAAUCUUCCACAAUGGACGAAAGUCUGAUGGAGCAACGCCGCGUGAGCGAUGAAGGCCUUCGGGUCGUAAAGCUCUGUUGUUAGGGAAGAACAAGUGCGAGAGUAACUGCUCGCACCUUGACGGUACCUAACCAGAAAGCCACGGCUAACUACGUGCCAGCAGCCGCGGUAAUACGUAGGUGGCAAGCGUUGUCCGGAAUUAUUGGGCGUAAAGCGCGCGCAGGUGGUCCUUUAAGUCUGAUGUGAAAGCCCACGGCUCAACCGUGGAGGGUCAUUGGAAACUGGGGGACUUGAGUGCAGAAGAGGAAAGUGGAAUUCCAAGUGUAGCGGUGAAAUGCGUAGAGAUUUGGAGGAACACCA